UAAUAGUCAACUGGCAUCCAAUCUGUGACUUCAUGGAUGAUACUGCUUGGAGUAAGGCCAAGUGGGGGGCGGGGGGAAGUGAACUCUUUUGAAGAAAACCUUAGGUGUAACCGAGGACAAGGUCCAGGUGGGAAAUAACCCGCCGCACCCAAGACUGACAAGACCAGAUGGGCAUUCUGGAAAGGUGAUUCAGGCAGCAGUCUGGCGUACCAGGGUAAGGGAAAAGGGUAGAGAGGCUAUUCUAAGGGGCCCGAAGACAAAGUGCGUGUUGAGCCAGCGGAGUGUGGUGAGGGGCAGUGGGAGGGAGGGAGCUGGCAGACCCUGAUCGGGUGUGGAAGCUGGGGCAGGGUAGGCGGUACCGUGGGUCCCACCCUUAUCUGUCUCAAGGCUUAGCCCAGGACCUUCCACAUAGUAGGUGCUCAGCAAAUACGCGGUGAGGGACCCUGUGAGUGGAUGGAUGAAUCACUGCGAGCCUCCUCACUCAUGAUCCGCAGGGGUUUCUCAUGCCCCCAUGGAGGGGGCAAUUAGAAAAGGGUCAGGGGGCAUUGCAGAGGGUUGGCCAGCCCCCCACGGCUCCACAGGCGCAGGGGAACUGGCUUCUUGCCAUCCCUCGGGGGCUUGGCAGACUGACAGGUUCACAAGAUGGGCAGGUCCCACAGCAGACUGGGAAAGUGAUAAGGGCAGGGCCUGGCCUGAAGGACAAUUUCUUGGACACCCCCAUUAGCCCUGUCUAGGGCUGAGAGGCCGGACAAAGCAGCUUCUCUCCUCACAGUGGAAAGGGGGAACCAAGGACUCUGCUUCUCCUUCGGUUGCUCACACGGACCUGCCAGGAGCCAUUCCGGAUUGGCUGCAGGAAACGUUCUAUACAUAUGCGAGACUCCGUGUUUCUUCCUCCCAGGAAGGGCGAGGGCGGCAGAUGUUUCUCUAGAGAGAAAUCAGUUCCCCUCACCCCCAUCCUGCAGUCAGCAUAGCAAUGCAAGGGGACUAACGUUUGUGGGGUUCCUUCUACGCACCACGUUCCACUACAGCGUCAGCGUUCCGCGUUACGAUGUCAUUGUCAUGGCAACAAUGCAGGAUGGGUGCUUUUCGCAGAGGAAGCCUCUGAGGUUUGGAGAGCUGAGCUCCGUAGCUAAGGCCAUACAACCAAUACGUAUCAGAACUGGAAUUUGAACCUGGCUCUCCAACAUUCUACAACUCGUGUUCUCUCGAAUACAGCCUUUGGCUCUGUUCAAAAUAGUCCUCUGGGCUCUGUGCCUAAAGCAAUAGAAGAUGUAGACCAAGGGCAUCAGACUUGGGACAGAAAUAUUCCGGGACAUUUUUGUGGCUGAAUGCUCUGGACCUAGGGGGAGACAGCCUUCAGACAAAUCUGGUAAGACAAGGGCCUGGGCAGACAUCUCCUCUGUUCGUUCCACCCAGCGGGAGGAGGUACCUUCUACCUCCAGGCAGAAGGUAGAGCAUGUGCCCAGGCCUGGAGACGCGAGAGCGGAAGUGUGUUCGCUGCUGUUAGAGCAGAGCAAACAAAUGAGGAAUAGGUAGGAGGUGUGGCCAGGGGGCUGGGCUGGAUUCCUGGACCCUUACCGUCAUACUCCUUCUGGAGUAGACUCUGCCCUGAAUCAGGCCAUUCUCCUGGGUGCCCCGGAAAACGAUCCGGUGACCGCGCUCUCCAGAGCGCCUCUGAUGGUAACGAGGCUCAGCCCGGAGACCAUCUGAGUGGGUGACAGACUCCCAAAUAUCAGAGGCUGGCAUACUUCCUCUACAAGCCAGUGGGCACACGGUAUCGAAGAGAAGGGAAAAAAUAAUCGCAGCAGUGUCUGAAGAACUUAGACACGGUGUCUUGCUCUCUCGUAAUGUAUGUUUCAAGCAGCCUAAGGAGUAAAAAAGUCAGAUUCACAUGUCUCCUGCUGCUCAUGCAAAGAAAAGGAGCGGAAGUUCCAAGGCAGCCAUUUCACCCGUAAGAUGUGUGAUGUUGGGAGUCGUAAUAAAAAAUAAAUAUUUGGUCUCCGGGCCCUCUUCUGGCACAGGGCUCCUCAAACCUUAGGAAUUUCCGGGGAGGAAGGUGAUAUAGGUGUCAUUUGUUACGUUAACGAGGUGACCUUUGGAACCACCUAAGGACGAGGCUGGUUGCCAGGAGAACCAUGCGAUGAGAAGGUUGGAGUUUUCAGUCCCUCCCUCAACUGCCUGUGAGAGGAGGAGGCUGGAGGUUGAAUCAAUGGCCAAUGCCUUAAUCCAUUGUGACCACAAUGAAGCCUCGGUGAAAAUCCCAAAGGACCAGGUGUGGAGUGCUUCCUGAUUGGUGGACAGCUUUCAGAGAGCUUCCUGAUUGGUGGAGACAAUAUUCACAGUGCUUCCUGAUUGGUAGACAGGGUUCGAGCGCUUCCUGAUUGGCUGACAGGCGGAGAUUCGGGAAGAGUGGGCUCUCAGAGACCGUGGAAGCUCCACCCCAUGUCCCACACCUUGCCCUAUGCAUCUCUUCCACUGGCUGUUCCUGAAUUAUAUCCUUUUAUAACAAACUUGUAAGCUGCGUGGCCAAAUGUCAGUGCCAAGUCAUUCAACGCGCAUUACCAACUUCUUCCUGUGUGCCAGGAACUGGCCCUGCCCGGGAGGACAAGCAGUGAACCCUGUAGACACAGCCUCUCACUGAGCUUGAUCCGGAGGGGGUCCACCCUCCCCCUCUCGCCGGCUGCCCCCAGGGCUGAGCCUCCAGUGUCCAGGUGUGAAGGUGGGUCACCUUGGCCACAGAUUUUACACGUUUCCCUCUCCCUGGCAAAUGGGGGUGUCAGGGGGGGUGUGGCAGGGACCUGAACCACAGCUCCCACACCAAGAGUUUUAUUAUCAUCAUUAUUAUUAUUAUUAUUAUUAUUAUUAUUAUUAUUAUUUUAAUCUAAGAACUAGUUGUGAUUAAUAGCAGCCUGAGGUUCUGAGGCUCCUGGUGCAGAAAUAAGGUCACGGUGAAGAUAUGGCCGUUUUGAAACCCUGGUGAACUUCAAGGACCAGCGCAGAGUGGUAAUCACUCCGGUUUUGGCUCAUCUUCCUUCCCUGUGGCCUGUGACUUCAAGGCCCGGGGCUGUCCCUACCUUUCAGACUUCCUCUCAUGCAAAUUGCCCCAGGCAGGGGUGUGUGGGGUUGGUGGAGGGGGGGGGGGUGCUGGCAAAAGAGAGGAGAGAGCAGAGGGAAGUAAUCAACUCCAGCCUCCCCAGACCUACUUUCUGUCUCACAGGCAGACCUCUCAGGGGUCCACCGGAGCCCCAACACGGCCUCAGUAAGGGCUUGCUUGCUUCCACUAAAGUCCCAAACCUGGAAGCUUGGGCCUGGAGGUACACCCCAUCCAUCCAUCUCUCAAGAAAUAAAUGCAUCCAUCCCAUUCAGAGAAAGAUCACAGCUCUGAGGGGCUUAUGGGUUUUCCUGCAAUCCUCUUGUCAUCCCAUAUCUGUAGAGUCUCGAAACUGCCUCUUCCCGACGAGUGGGGCUGCGAGAGUAAGGGCCUAACUGAGCUAACAGGCACAGAGACCGGCGAUCAUGGAGCCUUUGGGAGAGGGGGCUCGAGGGAGCCCUCCCAAAACAGGUCCCCUUCCCAGCCAGCCCCCACCGGGGACAUCGCAGCAAGAAUCGUCCCGACGGAGGAGUUUGCGUGCUGACCCAAAGGGUGCAGGGGCUUUUCCCUUUACUGGCUUCAGUUUAGUGGGACACAUUUCUCGAGAGCCCAAGGCACCACGGUUGCCCUUGCAGGAAGGAGAAGUGGACAAGGUCACAGAGGAGAGCAGGCCAAGAGCCGGCAGUCCCGCCUCUGUGCUGGCUCUGUGAGACCUUGAGGCCUUCAACCUCUGGGCUUGGGGCCUCAGUUUCCCCAUCUGCAAGCAAGGGUGCUGGACUACAGCAACUCUUCAGUCCUCUAUUUCAUCGGCACGCCAGUAAGGAGAGAUCUGGUCCUGGCCCCAUCCUUGCCUGAGGCAGGACUGACUUGUUCCCAAUAAAAAAAUCUCAAAUCCAGAUUCAGUGGCUUUCUGGCUCAACCAUUUCUCAAGAAAUAAAUGCGCUGGUGACUAUGGGGGAGGAGAACGUCCAAACUGGCCCUGAUUUGCGUGGACUGAUGCACGGGCCCCUUUCCCGCCGAGCUUUCCAACUGGCUGAGUGACUCCCUUGUGGCUUGGGAGGCCUCUGCCCACUGGGAUUUGGAAGUUCAUGGUGAAGUCUUGUGAGUACGACUUACCACGGGGUCCCUGCCACUCCAUUUACAAAAGGGACACAGGGGCCUCGAAAAGCCCACAACCUCCACAGGCUUCUGUGAAAAUUUCCAACCCUCCUAAUGUACGC